rnacentral:tRNA from 1 species
GCCUGGGUGGCUCAGCCGGUUGAGCAGCCGACUUCGGCUCAGGUCAUGAUCUCGAGGUUCGUGGGUUCGAGCCCCUCGUCAGGCU